GAAUUUGGGAGGCUAGGACUCCGGCUACGGUGGCUCUGCUCUUGGGAUGAGAGGACUGGGCCCAGCUUGCGAGGAAUCAUGAAGUGGACACAGGGAGGCCGACCCAAGUCUCCCUGCUGUCAUUUCAGGAGGCCGAAUUUUUUCCCAAUCCCAGAGAAGGUGUCAGAGGCCUGGUUAGCAGUCUUGUCGAUGGUUUCCUGGGUGGUCUUGGCCAGCUGGUCCAUGGCUGGGGAAGGGCGGGAGAGAGGGCAGGUCAGGCAGGGCCCGGGAACCACAGUGCCUGUAGGCUUAGCCUGGCCUGGGUCUCCCGGGGGACCUGCUUGGGGCAUUGUGGACAGAGGGCUCUGCAGAGGAGAGGAUGUGCCUGGGCCCCAGCCGGGAUGGGGCGGGGAGUGGGAGGUGUGCUGGGGUUGCCCGCCUCCCUCCAGCCCCACCAGACCUUUCUGCCCCGCCUCUGUGGCCUGG
ensembl:lncRNA novel transcript, antisense to ADIRF